rnacentral:rRNA from 1 species
CCCAGACUCCUACGGGAGGCAGCAGUGGGGAAUAUUGCACAAUGGGGGGAACCCUGAUGCAGCGACGCCGCGUGGGUGAAGGAGCACCUCGGUGCGUAAAGCCCUAUCGGCAGGGAAGAAAAGCGAACAGGUUCGCCUGGACGGUACCUGACUAAGAAGCCCCGGCUAACUACGUGCCAGCAGCCGCGGUAAUACGUAGGGGGCAAGCGUUAUCCGGAUUCACUGGGUGUAAAGGGAGCGUAGACGGCGACGCAAGUCUGGAGUGAAAGUCCAUGGCUUAACCAUGGUACUGCUCUGGAAACUGUGGAGCUUGAGUGCGGGAGGGGCAGGCGGAAUUCCUAGUGUAGCGGUGAAAUGCGUAGAUAUUAGGAGGAACACCGGCGGCGAAGGCGGCCUGCUGGACCGUAACUGACGUUGAGGCUCGAAAGCGUGGGGAGCAAACAGGAUUAGAUACCCGGGUA